ACCAGAACUAUGCAGAGGAGGGACUGGAUCUUAUCAGUGAGACAGAAAGAUAUGCUUACGUGGACUCUAAAACGCUCCGCGGUAUCUAACUUUAUUUCUUUGACACCUAAAACGGGAUGCAACCUUCAAGCAUGACCGAUCUGUUAUUUUUAAACAGAGGGGAAAAUCUGGCAAUGUAAAUAGAAAGUAUCUGUUUACAUAGGUUUUUUAGAAUUUGAUCUGAAAUUUUAGCAAGUUGCAGAAUGGGUUGUGAAGCACAACAUUUCAUCUUUUUGAUUCUAGACACUAUCCUCAGAAAUUAGAUUUGAAAAAUGAGCUUCAUUUUCGAAGAACAUAUUGUCUUGCUGCUGCUCCCUCUUUGGGUCCGCACUGCCUUUAUGAGCUGUAACAGUCACCGCGAAGGUCUGCAGCUUCAAUCCUGAGGCCAGCGAGACCACGAACCCACCAGGAGGAAUGAACAACUCCGGAUGGGAGGAACGAACAACUCCGGAUGGGAGGAACGAACAACUCCAGACGCGCGCCGCUUUAAGAGCUGUAACAUUCACUGCGAAGGUCUGCAGCUUCACUCCUGAAGCCAGCGAGACCAUGAACCCACCAGAAGGAAGAAACUCCGAACACGUCCGAACAUCAGAAGGAACAAACUCCAGACACACCAUCUUUAAGAACUGUAAUACUCACCGCGAGGUUCGGCAGCUUCAGUCUUGAAGUCAAUGAGUCCAAGAACCCACCAAUUCUGGACACAGUAGGAUAGUGUGUUAUGAAGAUGUAUUUAUUAGGAGGUAAGCCUCCUCGAAAAAAUCAAAAGACCUUUGUUGCACCAAAUUCCUUGCUAUAAUGAUUCCUGUUAGAGUGAAACGCCUAUUUGCUUCCAGAGUAUAAAUUUCAUUCCAAUUGGAGGAAAAGGCUUAAAUGACUUCAAGAAACACAUUGUAAAUUUGCCACCUCUUUUGCAUUUUCCUGAGAUAUUUUCCUCAAGGAAUUGACGUGCAAAUCACCAAGGUCUACAUAUUUUUCCCAUUACCUACAAAAGUAGUGACUAUACCAAUUAGAAAUUUUGUUCACUAGUAAAAAAUCAAUAAGAGUACACUGCUUGGACACUUACAUAAGAAGUUAUAAUUUUUUUUUCUUUCUGAAUCAUUUCUCCUAAGCCGUUUUCUACUGACAGGAGUCUGUCUCUUCACAUUAGUGACAGGAAGAAAUAAUUAAGUGUAAGUUGUCACUUGUGAUCGGAAGAUCCAUGAAGUAAAAGUGAACUAAGUGGGGCAGAUGAAAUCCUGGCUGUCCUCUCUACAUCUGCUGAAAUAGACUUAGGAAUCAUCUCUGAAACAUUCCCACUUCUAAUUUCCAGAAUUUAUGUGGAUUACAAAUGAGAAUAAUCUAGAUUUUUCUUGUAGAAUCUUGAAGAGGCAUUCUUUAUUUUUAAUCACUUACCCUUAGGAAUAUCCUCAGAAUGUGCCUGAAAUUAGGACAAAUCUAUGUAUUAUAGUUAGAGUGAAAUAUUAGUAAUUGUUUAAUGUCACUACGCCUAACUUAACUGUUAGUGUGAAUUUUGAGUGGAUAAAUAAGGAAUAUUUAUUGCUCUCAUUGUUCAUUCAUUCAACAAGCAUUUAGUGAAUACCUUCCAUAUACCAGAGAUUUUUCAAGUAAUUGAGAAAAUAAAGAUAAUUAAGAUAGUUCA